rnacentral:rRNA from 1 species
UGGGGAAUAUUGCACAAUGGAGGGAACUCUGAUGCAGCGACGCCGCGUGAACGAAGAAGGCUUUCGAGUCGUAAAGUUCUUUUAUAUGGGAAGAUAAUGACGGUACCAUAAGGAAAAGCCCCGGCUAACUACGUGCCAGCAGCCGCGGUAAUACGUAGGGGGCUAGCGUUGUCCGGAAUCACUGGGCGUAAAGGGUUCGCGGGCGGAAAUGCAAGUCAGGUGUAAAAGGCAGUAGCUUAACUACUGUAAGCAUUUGAAACUGCAUAUCUUGAGAAGAGUAGAGGUAAGUGGAAUUUUUAGUGUAGCGGUGAAAUGCGUAGAUAUUAAAAAGAAUACCGGUGGCGAAGGCGACUUACUGGGCUCAUUCUGACGCUGAGGAACGAAAGCGUGGGUAGCAAACAGG